rnacentral:rRNA from 1 species
UAUCGGGACGGGACUAAGACAUGCUAGUCGAGCGUUUCCAAGCUAUGUUGGGAGCGCGGCGUACAGCUCAAUAACACGUGGCUAACCUGCCCUUGGGAUAGGGACAACCCCGGGAAACUGGGGCUAAUCCCCAAUAGGCGAAGGCUCCUGGAAUGGAUCUUCACCCGAAAGGAUCCUAGAUCAUGCUUCUAGGCAUCGCCCAAGGAUGGGGCCGCGGCCGAUCAGGUUGUUGGUGAGGUAAUGGCCCACCAUGCCUUUUACCGGUGCGGGCCGUGAGAGCGGGAGCCCGGAGAUGGGUACUGAGACAAGGGCCCAGGUCCUACGGGGCGCAGCAGUCGCGAAACCUUUGCAAUACACGCAAGUGUGACAGGGUCAUCCCGAGUGCCGACCGCUGAGGUUGGCUUUUACUCAGUCUAGAAAGCUGGGGGAAUAAGGAGAGGGCAAGUC